rnacentral:rRNA from 1 species
UACGUAGGGGGCAAGCGUUGUCCGGAAUCAUUGGGCGUAAAGAGCGUGUAGGCGGCUUGACAGGUCUGCUGUGAAAACUCGAGGCUCAACCUCGAGAUGUCGGCGGAAACCGUCUGGCUAGAGUCCGGAAGAGGAGAGUGGAAUUCCUGGUGUAGCGGUGAAAUGCGCAGAUAUCAGGAGGAACACCGGUGGCGAAGGCGGUUCUCUGGGCAUUACCUGACGCUGAGGGGCGAAAGUGUGGGGAGCGAACAGG